rnacentral:tRNA from 1 species
GGAGGUAUAGCUCAGUGGUAGAGCGCGUGCUUAGCAUGCAUGAGGUCCUGGGUUCAAUCCCCAGUACCUCCA